GGGCAGAUGCUAGAGCGGCCAAUUAGGGCGGACUGUAACUCCGCUGGUGUAAUGCCUACGCAGGUUCGAAUCCUGCUCUGCCCACCA
rnacentral:tRNA from 1 species